rnacentral:rRNA from 1 species
UACGAGAGGCCCAACCGUUAUUCGGAAUUACUGGGCUUAAAGAGUUCGUAGGCGGCAUUGCAAGUAGGGUGUGAAAGCCCUCGGCUCAACCGAGGAAUUGCGCUCUAAACUGCAGUGCUUGAGGAACCUAGAGGUGAGCAGAACAGAUGGUGGAGCGGUGAAAUGCGUUGAUAUCAUCUGGAAUACCGGAGGCGAAGGCGGCUCACUGGGAGUUUUCUGACGCUGAGGAACGAAAGCCAGGGUAGCGAACGGG